rnacentral:rRNA from 1 species
UACGUAGGGUGCAAGCGUUAAUCGGAAUUACUGGGCGUAAAGCGUGCGCAGGCGGUAAUGUAAGACUGUUGUGAAAUCCCCGGGCUCAACCUGGGAACUGCAUUUGUGACUGCAAGGCUGGAGUGCGGCAGAGGGGGAUGGAAUUCCGCGUGUAGCAGUGAAAUGCGUAGAUAUGCGGAGGAACACCGAUGGCGAAGGCAAUCCCCUGGGCCUGCACUGACGCUCAUGCACGAAAGCGUGGGGAGCAAACAGG